UACCAGCUCUCCGAGUUGUAGGGAUGAUUAUUGGGCUUAAAGCGUCCGUAGCUGGCUUAGCAAGUCUCCUGUUAAAUUCAGCGACCUAAUCGUUGAGCCGCGGGAGAUACUACUAGGCUAGGAGGCGGGAGAGGUCAACGGUACUUCCGGGGUAGGGGUGAAAUCCUAUAAUCCCGGGAGGACCACCAGUGGCGAAGGCUGUUGACUAGAACGCGCUCGACGGUGAGGGACGAAAGCUGGGGGAGCGAACCGGAUUAGAUACCCGGGUAGUCCCAGCUGUAAACGAUGCGAGCUAGGUGUUGGGGUGGCUACGUGCCACUUCAGUGCCGCAGGAAAGCCAUUAAGCCCGCCGCCUGGGGAGUACGGCCGCAAGGCUGAAACUUAAAAGGAAUUAGGCGGGGGGCACCGACAAGGCGUGAAGCUUGCGGUUC
rnacentral:rRNA from 1 species